ACAAACCAGCACGGCAUUUUACAGACAAAUAGGCAGUCACAGGAAACGCUGAUCCUUGACUGCAGGUGUCCGAGGCGCCUGGGCAGGGACAGGCAGGGCAGGCGCCCCGCAAUCCCAGCACCUUCUGUUCCCCUCCCAGGUCUGUGGGCUCGUCCGUGACGGCCCAGGAGACCUGCUUCUGUCCACCAGAGUCCGGAGGGUCUGAUGACCAUGGCAUGUGCCUGUGUCCCCACUGGUGAUGGGGCACCCUGGCGUACACGUGCAGGCAGAACGUGCUAUGUGCCAGGGCCUGGGAGUGUCAGCUGCCAUCGGCUCCCUCUGCUAUUCCAACAGAGGGAGCAUUUCCUAUACCCAUCAGCAGAACACACACGGUGUGAGCCUGUUUUAGAACACAGACGUGCUGACACGUGCGUGCCUGUGGCCGUGAAGGCAGCAGGGACGAGAUGGGGCUGGAAGCCGUGUGCACCCCGUGUGGCGAGCCCUGGCCGGAGCAGGGUGGGGCGCGAUAGACAGCAGAGCUCACGCUGUUGGGAGAAUAUAAAUGGGGAGCUGGCUGAGGGCACCUGCAGUGGCCUGGACUGAGCAGGCUCCGGGGGCCCUCCUCCCCUUCCAGGCUCCGUCGCCUGGAGAACACUUCAGAUCCUCCCUCUCCAGACUGCUGAGGCCAACAGGAGAAGGCAGGAGAUGGGCCUGGGGGAGGCAGGCAGCCACCCACUCAAGGUGCAGGGCCUAGAAGGAGGGUGAUGGAGCCAGCACGCUCCACUGGAGGAAGUCCUAGAACUCUCUGCAUCUGUCAGUGACCGUCCCUCCCACUGAAACGUGCAAUUUCUACUCAGAACUUAUAGAAAAGGUGGGGGCAGAAAGCGGAAACUCAGAGCUGACUUCAAGAGUCCGGCAAACCAGCACUCAGGAACCGUGCUGUGGAGGCCCACCAGGGGACACGUGGGCACAGCAGAAGGAUACCACCGCGGAUGAAGCUCUCCCUAGAAAAGAAAGUAUCCGUCAGGGAGGCCCCAGGUCCAACCCGGAUGCUUUCCUGGGCCAUGUCCAACGCUGACCCAGGACCCCGGCUCCAUUCUGCGAUCCCAUAUUUACAGAAAGAAGCCACGUUUAUCUGGGCCUGCGGUUGUCCGUCUGAGGAUCUGACCGUUGGCUUUUCGAAAGCUGAGGCUGGGCCGGAGUGUGUACUUGGGAGCUCAGAGGUGGAGAGGAGAAGGCUCUGAAUGUGGCCGAGCUGAGCCCAGCCGGGACAGGGAAGGACUGCGCCCUGGACACAGACAGAGGACAGCUCUUCUCAUCUUCUGAGGUUUCUGUACAUUUACCACGUGGGUAGAACUAGAGGAAAACCUUUUCCGACUCAGGGUACGAAUCCUUUUUUUGUGUGUGGUUGAUGAGAGACCCUGCUUUCCUCUGGAAUUUCACACACGGCCCCAAAUAUCCCUCAGAUACGCAUUUCCUGAAGCGGCAACCCAAGUUCUCGCACUGUUGUGGCUCCUGGGCCUUCUCCCACCCGCGGCAGCCACAGGUCUCCCUCCUCCUAGGCUGACAGCCUCUCUCCCCGUGAAGUGGUCUUGGCAUCACAGGUGUUGAGUGUCUCUAAUCCUCCCAUCGAAGGUGUCCUGGGGCAGAUUUCCUGUGUGAAGAGGCUCACACCAGUGGCACGUCUGUGACACGCAGAAACAUCAGCAAUGACUGAAAAUUUGCCAAAUGGACCCUCUGGGAGGCCUGAGCUAUACUGCCGGCGGCAAGUGGACCAGCGAUGGGAACCAGCCCGGCCGGUCUUCUCUCCAGCCCCGGUGAUCUGGCUCUAGCUAAACUCCGCCACCUAGAUACUUGUCGGUAUCGGGUGGAUUUCAUGUGAACUGGGGGUUUCCUCCCUUUUGAUUCUUCUCUUGAAGGCCGACUUCAGACACUUCAGAUCUACUUGCUGGCCGGCCACUGUGAUGGAUCAGAACCGUGGCAGCUCAGGAGCAAAGGCUGCACAAAAACCUUACGUGACACAGGAUUUUACAUAAUUAACGUUAAAGGCAGCUGUAAUCAGAUUGGCGGCUCUAAGGGUUUCAGACCCAUAACGGCUCAUUGUGACUAAAUACAGCAGUGGUUUUCAGGACCUAACAUUUUUUUGGUAAAUGAUUUACUGUAGUGACAGUGUGUCUCUGAACAGGGGUGUCAGGAGUACACGUGGAGGUGCGGAGAACGAACGUGUCCCCGAGGUGACAGACAAGGUGUGCACAGGGAUCCUGCCCCGGCGUAAACCUAGUUUCUCACCAAAUG